GAGCGCGCCGCCACCCCUUAGGAGGCCUGCAUCACUCCUGCCCAGGCGCUACCGCUAACCGCAGCGGGCGCUCCCAGCUCUGGGUCACCUAGGAGUUCCAGGGGAGUGGGCGAUCCGGGGACUGCGCGGCAAGAGAGGUAUCUGACCAGACUGCAGCAAGCCCUUCAGCCGCUCUACUUCAGCCAGAGUUGACGCAUUUGCUAUAGCAUUCUGGAGGACAGAAAACAACAGAGAAGGACAAUUAAUUGCAUCUAAGUAUCAAUCACCCAGAAAACCUUACAGAAGUCCAUAGCAACUUUUUGAGGUGGAACAUUCAACAGCUCUACUGGGAGAAUUUUAUUGUCACAAUGAGCAAAUGAUUACUGCACAUGUCCUAAAAUUUUAGCUAAUUAAAGCACCUAUGUGGAAUUAUGUUACUGGAUAAUUUAGGAAGCAGUAUUAGGAAACUAGGAUUUCCCACUGAUCAUCAAGCAGAUCUUUCAGACAGCAAAUCUCUGAAAGUAAAAAUUAAGGCAAACAACCGAGACAGCAUACUUCAGUGACUGACCGUUCAAAUACCCUGGGAAAAUGGAAAAGAACUAGAGCUGUCUCUGUGCUGACUGGCUCACAGAAGCGAUUCACAUCAAAGGUGGUUGAAUAAUCACUUUAAGCUAGUUCCCACCUAACACAGAAAUGGAGCAGGAAUCUAAGUGUGGGGGGUGGAGGAUGGAAACUGCAAUGUUUAGAACUUGGUCUAUUACAUAUUUUGUGUCCUAAACCCAUGGCAACUCUUCUAACACAUUUUUACCUUGAUGGCUUCUACAUCCCCUGGAGACGGCCCACCUUUCUUUUUGUCAGUCGGCAAACCGGCACCUGGGUUGAAACUUGGGAGGGGAGGGAAGAACAUAACUGUUAAAUCCAGACCAAUGGAAAUUGCUUCUCUUUUACUUUCAAAAAGGCUUUUGAAAGUAAUUCAACCAGUGUAGUAUCUUAUCUUUGUUAACAAACUGAUACAAGAAACUCUCUCCUUCAGAAACACCACCCAGUUCAUCUUCCUCUAGAGAAAGCAGGAUAUAUACAGUGUUGCAUUAAGACUGAACACCGGAAGUAUUUGCUAACCUGGUAGAAAUCUCAUGUGAUGUGUGGACCAUUGAAGGUCAUGGGCUAUCAUCACACAAAUUCAAUAGUGUUAUUAGUCAGUCACAGGUGUUUUGUUUAGUUCUGUAGGAGGCAAAAAGCCAGACAGAUAGUGUUUCUGAAGGUGAAGUGGAGUGAAGUUGGAUAUCCGUAUCUUACGUUUUGCUUCUCCUGGCAAUAUCCUUUGCAAGUUGUGCACCCCGUUUGCCCUUGAACAUUUUCUCUGCUUCCUGACGCUCCUACAGCAACACCACACACAGAGUUAAUGGAAAUAGGAAUACCACAUGCAUUUAGAUGCAUUCCUCAGAAAACACGGAAGAAAACUCUUCUGAAAUACUCGGGGCUGGUAAAAAUACCAAAAAGUCAAUUUCAAAUUAAAAGGAGACACAAUGGCCUUGCUUUGUCUGGUGAAGUUCCCUGAAGAAAGUUCCCCCUCCUAGUUUCAGGGAGGGGCUCUGGAGGAACUAGGAAGGUUUAAAAAGGAAAGAAAAAAAAAACAACAAAAAACAAAAACAGAAACAAAAAACAAGGGAAAACCCACUCCCUGUAAAGGGAAAAUCAUUCUAACAAUUAAAGCUGCUGAAAAAUGGAUUCUAUUAAGCUCCCCAAGGGGGAACAUAUCUUAAGCACAGUCUUGCUGACAGUGCUCACCGCGGCUGAUACUGUGCUACGACCUCUGAAUGACCAACACUACUGCACAAGACAGCUUUAACUCAAAGUCCUACUGUAAACUCUGCUACGAAAAAAAAAUCUGACUUAACAUUUUGUUUCCCACAUUUUUAUGACAAACCAAUAGUAAAACACAUUUGGCAAUUUAAAAAAAUCAACAGCAAAAGUAUAAAAUAAAACAUGAACGUAUAAUGACUUACAACCAACAGAAAAUACUUACUUUCAGUUUCACCUUCUGGAAAUCCAGUACUCUGACUUGUGGAACUUUAUAAAUUACAUACAGUCUGUAAUGCUUCUUAUUUGUUACAGGAUUUCUUAGGAUACUGCAAGAAAAGGAAUAGCAAUGCCAGUCUUGUUCAUAGCGUAGCAUUUCAAGAGGUCCAUUUUAAUAAAAUCAAAUGAGUCCAUAAACUAA